rnacentral:tRNA from 1 species
CAGGAAAUAGCUUAAAAAAAGCAAUUUAUUUACAUUAAAAAGAUAUUAUUAAUAGUUUUCUUGA